rnacentral:rRNA from 13 species
AACCCUCGUUCUAUGUUGCCAGCGCGUGAUGGCGGGGACUCAUAGGAGACUGCCGGGGUCAACUCGGAGGAAGGUGGGGAUGACGUCAAAUCAUCAUGCCCCUUAUGUCUUGGGCUUCACGCAUGCUACAAUGGCCGGUACAGUGAGUUGCGACAUCGUAAGGUGGAGCGAAUCUCAAAAAGCCGGUCUCAGUUCGGAUUGGGGUCUGCAACUCGACCCCAUGAAGUCGGAAUCGCUAGUAAUCGCGGAACAGCAUGCCGCGGUGAAUACGUUCCCGGGCCUUGUACACACCGCCCGUCACACCAUGGGAGUUGGAUCUACCCGAAGAUUGUGAGCUAACUUCGGAGGCAGCAAGCCACGGUAGGUUCAGCGACUGGGGUGAAGUCGUAACAAGGUAGCCGUAGGGGAACCUGCGGCUGGAUCACCUCCUU